CCGUGUGUUUCCCAGAAUGCACCUGGAUCCAGUGGAUCAUAAACAUGUGUAUGUGCCAUUUCAAAAUGAGGUGAAGCGUGUGGCUGUAGCAAAGUGCAGCACACACACAAAUGUCCAGGAGUGGUGGACUGCUCAGGAUCCAUACUGUGUGUGGUGUGUCUCCAAAGGAAGCUGCACCUUUGAAGAUGACUGUGAGGACUCCCACUGGCUGUCCAUUCCUGAUGUCUUCCAGCAGAAACUGAUUUCCCACAAAGUUGUUGAAGACGGGACUGGACAGCUCACUCUGAACAUCCAGACUCAUGUGAAUGUGAGCAAAGAGA